rnacentral:rRNA from 1 species
UACAGAGGGGGCAAGCGUUGUUCGGAAUUACUGGGCGUAAAGGGCGCGUAGGCGGAUUGCUAAGUCAGGGGUGAAAUCCUGGAGCUCAACUCCAGAACUGCCUUUGAUACUGGCGAUCUCGAGUUCGGGAGAGGUGAGUGGAACUGCGAGUGUAGAGGUGAAAUUCGUAGAUAUUCGCAAGAACACCAGUGGCGAAGGCGGCUCACUGGCCCGAUACUGACGCUGAGGUGCGAAAGCGUGGGGAGCAAACAGG